CCUACGGGUGGCAGCAGUGAGGAAUAUUGGUCAAUGGCCGUAAGGCUGAACCAGCCAAGUCGCGUGAAGGAAGAAGGAUCUAUGGUUUGUAAACUUCUUUUAUAGGGGAAUAAAGGUAUCCACGUGUGGCUAUUUGCAUGUACCCUAUGAAUAAGCAUCGGCUAACUCCGUGCCAGCAGCCGCGGUCAUACGUAGGAUCCGAGCAUUAUCCGGAGUGACUGGGUGUAAAGAGUUGCGUAGGUGGCAUAAUAAGUAGCUAGUGAAAUCUGGUGGCUAAACCAUUCAGACUAUUAGCUAAACUGUGAAGCUCGAGACCGUUAGGGGUAACUGGAAUUUCUAGUGUAGGAGUGAAAUCCGUAGAUAUUAGAAGGAACACCAAUAGCGUAGGCAGGUUACUGGGACGGUUCUGACACGAAGGCACGAAAGCGUAGGGAGCAAACGGGAUUAGAUACCCCAGUAGUC
rnacentral:rRNA from 1 species